rnacentral:rRNA from 1 species
AGUGAACGCUGGCGGCAGGCCUAACACAUGCAAGUCGAACGGCAGCACAGUAAGAGCUUGCCCUUACGGGUGGCGAGUGGCGGACGGGUGAGGAAUACAUCGGAAUCUACUUUUUCGUGGGGGAUAACGUAGGGAAACUGACGCUAAUACCGCAUAUGACCUACGGGUUAAAGCAGUAGAUCAUCGGACCUUUCGCGAUUGAAUGAGCCGACGUCGGAUUAGCUAGUGGGCGUGGUAAAGGACCACCAAGGCGACGAUCCGUAGCUGGUCUGAGAGGGUGAUCGGCCACACUGGAACUGAGACACGGUCCAGACUCCUACGGGAGGCAGCAGUGGGGAAUAUUGGACAAUGGGCGCAAGCCUGAUGCAGCCAUACCGCGUGAGUGAAGAAGGCCUUCGGGUCGUAAAGCCCUUUUAUUAGGAAAGAAAAGCAGCAGAUGAAUAUCUCGAUGUCUUGACGGUACCCAAAGAAUAAGCACCGGCUAACUUCGUG